rnacentral:misc_RNA from 1 species
UUAACUAUUAUAUAGUACUCGGACGAUAUUUAUAAUUCAGAGUUUAAGGUCCUCUGGCGAGCACUCACCAGCGUGAGCCGGUGGCCGAGGCGGCUCGCCAAAGCAACAAAGGUAUAAUAACAUAGGGUUGGAGAGUCACCCGUGAGGGCGAUGUUCUCUGUAAUGAUCCUUCCGCAGGUUCACCUACGGAAA